rnacentral:rRNA from 1 species
AUUGAACGCUGGCGGUAUGCUUUACACAUGCAAGUCGGACGGCAGCAUAAAAGAGCUUGCUCUUUUGAUGGCGAGUGGCGAACGGGUGAGUAAUGCAUCGGAACGUAUCGAGUAGUGGGGGAUAACUGUCCGAAAGGAUGGCUAAUACCGCAUAUUCUCUGAGGAGGAAAGCAGGGGACCUUAGGGCCUUGCGCUAUUUGAGCGGCCGAUGUCUGAUUAGCUAGUUGGUGGGGUAAGAGCCCACCAAGGCGACGAUCAGUAGCGGGUCUGAGAGGAUGAUCCGCCACACUGGGACUGAGACACGGCCCAGACUCCUACGGGAGGCAGCAGUGGGGAAUUUUGGACAAUGGGCGCAAGCCUGAUCCAGCCAUGCCGCGUGUAUGAAGAAGGCCUUCGGGUUGUAAAGUACUUUUGUCAGGGAAGAAAAGCCUGAGGAUAACACCCUCAGGUCAUGACGGUACCUGAAGAAUAAGCACCGGCUAACUACGUGCCAGCAGCCGCGGUAAUACGUAGGGUGCGAGCGUUAAUCGGAAUUACUGGGCGUAAAGCGAGCGCAGACGGUUAUUUAAGCAAGAUGUGAAAGCCCCGGGCUCAACCUGGGAACUGCGUUUUGAACUGGGUAACUAGAGUGUGUCAGGGGGGGGUAGAAUUCCACGUGUAGCAGUGAAAUGCGUAGAGAUGUGGAGGAAUACCGAUGGCGAAGGCAGCCCCCUGGGAUAACACUGACGUUCAUGCUCGAAAGCGUGGGUAGCAAACAGG